CAAGUCGGAUGGAGCAACGCUUUAGUGAGUGAAGAAGAAGGGUCGGAAUCCUUAAACUCCCGUUGUUGUUGAAGAAUGGUCGGCAGAGUAACCGUGGUUGGCGUGACGGUAUCCAACCAGAAAGUUCACGCCUAAGUAUCUGCCAGCAGCCGCGCAAAUACGUUGGUGGCAAGCGUUAUCCCGAUUUAUUGGGCGUAAAGCGAGCGCAGGCGGUUUUUCAAGUUUUGAUGUGAAAAGCCCUCAGGCUUAACCCGAGGAAAGCGCAUCGCGAAACUGGGAAACUUGAGUGCAGAAGAGGACAGUGGAACUCCAUGUGUAGCGGUGAAAUGCGUAGAUAUAUGGAAGAACACCAGUGGCGAAGGCGGCUGUCUGGUCUGUAACUGACGCUGAGGCUCGAAAGCAUGGGUAGCGAACAGGAUUAGAUACCCUGGUAGUCCAUGCCGUAAACGAUGAAUGCUAGGUGUUGGAGGGUUUCCGCCCUUCAGUGCCGCAGCUAACGCAUUAAGCAUCCGCCUGGGAGU
rnacentral:rRNA from 1 species